rnacentral:lncRNA from 1 species
AUGAUGAUGUCUACCGUCCUACAAUGCCAUUUGAUUGCCCCAAUAUGCAAAUUGAUUAAUCAAGAAUCAUGCCCCUAUCAGCCAUUAUGCAACAAGAACGGGAGCUAAUCUUGUGGAGAUGGUGGUCAUUGCUCCAAGACUAUUAGGAUUUCAAUUCAAUGUCAUGUUAGGAUUUCAAUUCGGUACUAGAUUAGGAUUUGAAUUCGGCAUUUAUUUCAAAUUAUGUAGACCUUAUAAAUAACAAAACUAUUUAUGUACUUCUGGUAAAAUUUAAAUGUUAGUGGAUUUGAUUUUAAAUAUGAAUAUUUCAUUGAGGUUCUUCUUUGCAGUGGUGUUAUAAUGGUUGU